rnacentral:hammerhead_ribozyme from 1 species
ACAUUGCUGAGGAGUCCAACAACAGGACGAGACGAACGUCCAGUAC